rnacentral:misc_RNA from 1 species
AGCAGCAGCAACAACAACAACAUCAAAACCAAAUCUUUGAGGCUCAGCAAUUUGCUGCUGCUUUGGCAGCAAGAGAGCAUCAAGAUAUGUUUAGGGCUUAUGAGCAACAGCAAGAGAUUGUGAGGUUUAACAGGGGUUUCGAUAUCUCGGAUACAGUUACUACCACCGGAUUUAAUCAGAUUACUGUUGCUGCAAUGUCACCUUCUCUGGCUCUAGGCAGCUUUGAUACUUCUUACCAGGUUCAACCACAGCAAGUGGAUCACCACCAACAUCACCAGCUCCAGGCUCAGCUUUUUCUUCAGCCACAACAGGCACAGCCUCAGCCCCAUGAACAACAACAAACUCAACAGCAGCAUCAACCAUCAGGAAGUGAUGAGGGUGGAAGCAUAGGCCCAUCUUGUUGAUUUUUUUUCCUUUUACAGCUCUUAUGCGCUAAUUCUAAUUCCUUGAUGCAAUUUCCCAUUCGAGCUAGGUACGUAUUCUUUACUCUUUUGUCAUUAUUUUAUUUUUUCGAGUGGUGGUGGUGGGUGUUUGUGUGCCCGUGCACAUGAUGGUCUCAGAUCACUGGAACUGGAACAGCUUCGCAUUUAUGACUGCUUUCUGUGCUUUUAUUUGCAAUCUGGUUUGAUUUUUCACAAAUGGAGCAAUACCAUCUGGUGGGUAGUGGAAAAACAAUAUUACUCUUUAUUGCAUAGAGCAGAAAGGGUUGGUAAAGAGAAUUAUUGUCUUUUCACUGCAAGGGACAUACCCCCCCCUUCCCCUGGCCUUCAUCAUCAAUUAUACCUAGAACCUAGAGUUACUUGCAUACCAGUCUACCAGAUAGUAGAUAUUCCUUUCCUCCUCCUGAUCUGGUGGCUUGCAUGGCUACUUUUGUGAACAAAUCAAAAAUGGAUUGAUAUAGUUAAUGCCAUGA